rnacentral:rRNA from 1 species
GACGAACGUUGGCGGCGUGCUUAAUACAUGCAAGUCAACUGAAGCAGUGGUAGCAAUAUCGCUGUGGAGGUGGCGCUCGGGUGAGUAACACGUAGGUAAUCUGCCUUCAGGUCUGGCAUAACUCCGGGAAACCGGGGCUAAUAGCAGAUGAUGCAGCGGCUCGACAUCGAGACAGUUGUUAAAGCUAUGGCGCCUGAAGAUGAGCCUGCGUCUGAUUAGCUAGUUGGCGGGGUAACGGCCCACCAAGGCAACGAUCAGUAGCUGGUCUGAGAGGAUGAUCAGCCACACUGGAACUGAGACACGGUCCAGACUCCUACGGGAGGCAGCAGUAAGGAAUAUUGCUCAAUGGGAGAAAUCCUGAAGCAGCAACGCCGCGUGAGGGACGAAGGGCUUUUGCUUGUAAACCUCUGUAGUGAGAGAAAAAAAUCCCAAUCUUUGGGACAUGAUGGUAUCUCAAAAGUAAGCCCCGGCUAACUACGUG